GGUAGCAUGGUCUAGUGGUUUGAGCGUUGGACUGUGACUCUGAAGACUAGGGUUCGAUUCCCCGCUCAGCCA